GAGUUUGAUCAUGGCUCAGAUUGAACGCUAGCGGGAUGCCUUACACAUGCAAGUCGAACGGCAGCACGGACUUCGGUCUGGUGGCGAGUGGCGAACGGGUGAGUAAUGUAUCGGAACGUGCCCAGUAGCGGGGGAUAACUACGCGAAAGCGUAGCUAAUACCGCAUACGCCCUACGGGGGAAAGCAGGGGAUCGCAAGACCUUGCACUAUUGGAGCGGCCGAUAUCGGAUUAGCUAGUUGGUGGGGUAACGGCUCACCAAGGCGACGAUCCGUAGCUGGUUUGAGAGGACGACCAGCCACACUGGGACUGAGACACGGCCCAGACUCCUACGGGAGGCAGCAGUGGGGAAUUUUGGACAAUGGGGGAAACCCUGAUCCAGCCAUCCCGCGUGUGCGAUGAAGGCCUUCGGGUUGUAAAGCACUUUUGGCAGGAAAGAAACGUCAUGGGUUAAUACCCCGUGAAACUGACGGUACCUGCAGAAUAAGCACCGGCUAACUACGUGCCAGCAGCCGCGGUAAUACGUAGGGUGCAAGCGUUAAUCGGAAUUACUGGGCGUAAAGCGUGCGCAGGCGGUUCGGAAAGAAAGAUGUGAAAUCCCAGAGCUUAACUUUGGAACUGCAUUUUUAACUACCGGGCUAGAGUGUGUCAGAGGGAGGUGGAAUUCCGCGUGUAGCAGUGAAAUGCGUAGAUAUGCGGAGGAACACCGAUGGCGAAGGCAGCCUCCUGGGAUAACACUGACGCUCAUGCACGA
rnacentral:rRNA from 1 species